rnacentral:rRNA from 1 species
UACGAAGGGGGCUAGCGUUGUUCGGAAUUACUGGGCGUAAAGCGCGCGCAGGUGGUCUUUCAAGUCAGUGGUGAAAGCCCGGAGCUCAACUCCGGAAAUGCCAUUGAAACUGUGAGACUUGAGGACGAGAGAGGUGAGUGGAAUUCCCAGUGUAGAGGUGAAAUUCGUAGAUAUUGGGAAGAACACUGGUGGCGAAGGCGGCUCACUGGCUCGUAUCUGACGCUCAGGCGCGACAGCGUGGGGAUCAAACAGG